AUCGUUUUCUAGUUCACAAGCAUGAUGAUUGGUUUUUCACAUCCAAUUUGUGUGAUGUGCCUCUCUUAAAUCUUAUUAUGACAUCCAGCACAUUACCUAUAUGUGU